AGUGAACGCUGGCGGUAGGCCUAACACAUGCAAGUCGAACGGCAGCACAGUAAGAGCUUGCUCUUACGGGUGGCGAGUGGCGGACGGGUGAGGAAUACAUCGGAAUCUACUUUUUCGUGGGGGAUAACGUAGGGAAACUUACGCUAAUACCGCAUACGACCUACGGGUGAAAGCAGGGGAUCUUCGGACCUUGCGCGAUUGAAUGAGCCGAUGUCGGAUUAGCUAGUUGGCGGGGUAAAGGCCCACCAAGGCGACGAUGCGUAGCUGGUCUGAGAGGAUGAGCGGCAACAAUGGAACUGAGACAAGGUCCAGACUAAUACGGGAGGCAGCAGUAGGGAAUAUUCAGCAAGGGGCGAGAGUCUGAAGGAGCAAAGCAGAGUGAGUGAUGAAGGUCGUAGGAUCGUAAAACUCUGUGAUUAGGGAAGAACAAAUGUGUCAGUAACUAUGAACGUCUUGACGGUAACUAAUAAGAAAGCAACGGCUAACUACGUG
rnacentral:rRNA from 1 species